rnacentral:rRNA from 1 species
GAUGAACGCUGGCGGCGUGCCUAAUACAUGCAAGUCGAGCGAACAGGCGAGGAGCUUGCUCCUCUGACGUUAGCGGCGGACGGGUGAGUAACACAUGGAUAACCUACCUAUAAGACUGGGAUAACUUCGGGAAACCGGAGCUAAUACCGGAUAAUAUAUUGAACCGCAUGGUUCAAUAGUGAAAGACGGUUUUGCUGUCACUUAUAGAUGGAUCCGCGCCGCAUUAGCUAGUUGGUAAGGUAACGGCUUACCAAGGCAACGAUGCGUAGCCGACCUGAGAGGGUGAUCGGCCACACUGGAACUGAGACACGGUCCAGACUCCUACGGGAGGCAGCAGUAGGGAAUCUUCCGCAAUGGGCGAAAGCUUGACGGAGCAACGCCGCGUGAGUGAUGAAGGUCUUCGGAUCGUAAAACUCUGUUAUUAGGGAAGAACAAAUGUGUAAGUAACUAUGCACGUCUUGACGGUACCUAAUCAGAAAGCCACGGCUAACUACGUG